rnacentral:sRNA from 1 species
CAACCAAUAAAACACCACAACAGCAAAGA